GUCUACAGCCAUGCCCCCCUGAACAAGCCUGAUGUCUGACUCAGAAGCUAAGCAGGGUCAGCCCUGGUUAGUACUUGGAUAGGAGACCACCUAGGAAGACCAGGUGCUGUAGGCA
rnacentral:rRNA from 1 species